UACGUAGGGGGCAAGCGUUGUCCGGAUUUAUUGGGCGUAAAGAGCGUGUAGGCGGCCAGACAGGUCCGUUGUGAAAACUCGAGGCUCAACCUCGAGAUGUCGAUGGAAACCGUCUGGCUAGAGUCCGGAAGAGGAGUGUGGAAUUCCUGGUGUAGCGGUGAAAUGCGCAGAUAUCGGGAAGAACACCCGUGGCGAAGGCGGCUCUCUGGGACGGUACUGACGCUGAGACGCGAAAGCGUGGGGAGCGAACAGG
rnacentral:rRNA from 1 species